rnacentral:rRNA from 1 species
AAACUUCACACUGCAGGAAACUGUGAUGAGGGAACUCCAAGUGCGCGCACUUAGUGUGCGCUUUUGUUGACUAUUAAUCGGUCAAUGAAUAAGGGCUGGGAAAGACCGGUG